GAUGAACGCUGGCGGCGUGCUUAACACAUGCAAGUCGAACGGGAAACCUUUUAUUGACGCUUCGGCAGAUUUAGCUGGUUUCUAGUGGCGGACGGGUGAGUAACGCGUGGGUAACCUGCCUUAUACAGGGGGAUAACAACCAGAAAUGGUUGCUAAUACCGCAUAAGCGCACAGGACCGCAUGGUCCGGUGUGAAAAACUCCGGUGGUAUAAGAUGGACCCGCGUUGGAUUAGCUAGUUGGCAGGGUAACGGCCUACCAAGGCGACGAUCCAUAGCCGGCCUGAGAGGGUGAACGGCCACAUUGGGACUGAGACACGGCCCAGACUCCUACGGGAGGCAGCAGUGGGGAAUAUUGCACAAUGGGGGAAACCCUGAUGCAGCGACGCCGCGUGAAGGAAGAAGUAUCUCGGUAGGUAAACUUCUAUCAGCAGGGAAGAUAGUGACGGUACCUGACUAAGAAGCCCCGGCUAACUACGU
rnacentral:rRNA from 1 species